GACGAACCGUGCGAACGUUGUUCGGAAUCACUGGGCUUAAAGGGCGCGUAGGCGGCCGCUCAAGUCCGGGGUGAAAGCCCCCAGCUUAACUGGGGAAGUGCCUCGGAUACUGAGGGGCUCGAGGGAGGUAGGGGCGGAUGGAACUUCCGGUGGAGCGGUGAAAUGCGUUGAUAUCGGAAGGAACGCCGGUGGCGAAAGCGAUCCGCUGGCCCUCUUCUGACGCUGAGGCGCGAAAGCCAGGGGAGCAAACGGG
rnacentral:rRNA from 1 species